GCCUUCGUGGUGUAAUGGUAGCACACUUGACGCGUAUUCGAGAGGUCCAGAUUCGAGUUCCGGCGAAGGCG
rfam:Stegodyphus mimosarum contig73590, whole genome shotgun sequence.